rnacentral:rRNA from 1 species
CCGAUAGUGAACCAGUACCGUGAGGGAAAGGCGAAAAGAACCCCGGCGAGGGGAGUGAAAAAGAACCUGAAACCGUGUACGUACAAGCAGUGGGAGCACGCUUAGGCGUGUGACUGCGUACCUUUUGUAUAAUGGGUCAGCGACUUAUAUUCUGUAGCAAGGUUAACCGAAUAGGGGAGCCGAAGGGAAACCGAGUCUUAACUGGGCGUUAAGUUGCAGGGUAUAGACCCGAAACCCGGUGAUCUAGCCAUGGGCAGGUUGAAGGUUGGGUAACACUAACUGGAGGACCGAACCGACUAAUGUUGAAAAAUUAGCGGAUGACUUGUGGCUGGGGGUGAAAGGCCAAUCAAACCGGGAGAUAGCUGGUUCUCCCCGAAAGCUAUUUAGGUAGCGCCUCGUGAAUUCAUCUCCGGGGGUAGAGCACUGUUUCGGCAAGGGGGUCAUCCCGACUUACCAACCCGAUGCAAACUGCGAAUACCGGAGAAUGUUAUCACGGGAGACACACGGCGGGUGCUAACGUCCGUCGUGAAGAGGGAAACAACCCAGACCGCCAGCUAAGGUCCCAAAGUCAUGGUUAAGUGGGAAACGAUGUGGGAAGGCCCAGACAGCCAGGAUGUUGGCUUAGAAGCAGCCAUCAUUUAAAGAAAGCGUAAUAGCUCACUGGUCGAGUCGGCCUGCGCGGAAGAUGUAACGGGGCUAAACCAUGCACCGAAGCUGCGGCAGCGACGCUGAUGCGUUGUUGGGUAGGGGAGCGUUCUGUAAGCCUGCGAAGGUGUGCUGUGAGGCAUGCUGGAGGUAUCAGAAGUGCGAAUGCUGACAUAAGUAACGAUAAAGCGGGUGAAAAGCCCGCUCGCCGGAAGACCAAGGGUUCCUGUCCAACGUUAAUCGGGGCAGGGUGAGUCGACCCCUAAGGCGAGGCCGAAAGGCGUAGUCGAUGGGAAACAGGUUAAUAUUCCUGUACUUGGUGUUACUGCGAAGGGGGGACGGAGAAGGCUAUGUUGGCCGGGCGACGGUUGUCCCGGUUUAAGCGUGUAGGCUGGUUUUCCAGGCAAAUCCGGAAAAUCAAGGCUGAGGCGUGAUGACGAGGCACU